CGGAAUAGCUCAGUUGGUAGAGCAGAGGACUGAAAAUCC
rnacentral:tRNA from 1 species